AGCCAGGAUUUCACGAAAACAUCAGCCGCAGACUGCGUAUCAGUGCCAACUGGAAGGCUGCUACGACUCAGCGGGACUCAGCGAUAUGGCUCCGAUGGAAUGACAGCCGAGUCGAUGGCCGUUUUCGAAAGUUGGAUAGCGGUGCUUGCCUUGAACAGCGACGGUUAGAAGCGUAAACUGAUUAACGGCAAUGAAUCGGUAUCACUUGUUAGAUAGAAGACACGAGUGAGGGGCCAAAGUGGACUCCCUCCCUCGGUAUCGGCCGUUCCGCCCGAUGGAGGAUGACGGGACCUUGCAGUGAGCUCCAGGCCUGGAAUGUCACCUGUGAAACGUCGACACCCCUCUGGAGAAGGCAUAUAAGAAAAGAAAACCACCGUCUCCGCUCUCGACGACUUAUUGAACUUUUGUGUUAGCCUGUUUACAAUAGCCAAAGUUAGCAAACAACGUUAGCUGCGGGAGGCAACCCCUCGCGCACCAUGAGUAUCAUAGAUAUAAACUUUAACGAGGGGCUCCUCACCGCCUCAGGUAACAGCGGGACAGGUGAACGCAGACACACACAGCUCUCUGCGCUUUUCCUUCGCUAUCAGAAGUAGUGCUGUUAUCUUUCGCCCAGUUGGCUCCUACCAGUUUGGUUUUGCGAAAAUUUUUUCUAUUGAAUCGUAUAUUUUCUGCAGUGACGCUUUUUUCCCCAUCAACCAUGUCUUCCAAGACCAAUCCUUUGUCCGGAAAAUUUCCAAGCCAACAUUUUCAACAAAGAGUAAAUGUCAGAACUGCUUUAAGCCAGAGAAUCACAUUUGCUGAACGAUGAGGACUUAAAUCAGGCAAAGCCUAUAUAUGGGGGAUGCUGCUAUUGGCACCAGAGGGAACAAAUUUUGACAAUCCCUUGCACGAUCUCGGAAAUGGCAAAGGAGGUUUUUUCAUCCUGUACGAGCACGGCUUGCUCCGCUAUGCUCUGGACGAAAUGCCCAGCACUCUGCCCCAGGGGACAAUCAAUAUGAACCAGUGUUCUGACGUCAUUGACGGAGAGUCCAGGACAGGUCAGAAGAACUCGCUGUGCAUCCUGACCCCCGACAAAGAGCACUUCAUCCGGGCUGAGUGUAAAGAAAUCAUCAAUGGAUGGCAGGAGGCUCUGACUGUCUACCCCCGGACCAACAAGCAAAACCAGAAGAAGAAGCGCAAGGUUGAUCCUCCCACUCAGCAGGGUGGAGUAACUCCAAGCCAGUGUUUUUCCACUGAGGACAUGAAUGGACACCCAUGUCUUUGUGAUCUUACCUCCCAUGUCCUUUCCUCUUCCCAUCCAUUUCAUCCAACCCCAACACCAACUACCCAGGAGCCUGGUCCUGCCAAGGUGACGGUGACCAGUACUGGAGGCAGCAUCCCAUGCCUCCCCAGCAGUAUUGCCAGUGCUGAGCGUGUUCCUCUGAGCCGUGCUACUCUGUGGCAGGAGGAGAGUCGCUGGAGUAGGGCCACCAUCCCCUGCAGCCGCAGUGCCUCCUGCCUCAGCCAGCUGAGCCAGAGCCAACCAGACCCCAGGACCACCAGUCAAGAUGAUGGCAGUACUGUGAGCACUGGACGCAAGGUACGAGUGGAGAGCGGUUACUUUUCCCUGGAGAAGACCAAGUCAGAGCCUGCUCCACAGUUGGAGCAGCAUUCCCAACCUCUACAGCCCCCUCAGCACCUGCCCCUUUCAUCGUCAGCAUCCUCCUCCUCUUUAGGAGCUCUCAGUCCAAGGUACAGCUCUGAGUCAGAACCACUGACUUCCCCUUGUCACCCCUCCCAAGAUCCUCUUCCUUCUCCAGGUGACCUUGUCUCCCCAAGCUACUCCACCAUCAGCUCCUCUCAGAGCUCACUGGACUCUGAACCCAGCAGCACUGCUGCCCCCAGCUGGGAAGGCCGCAGUGGUGGCAUCAGUUGUGGAGGAAGCAGAGUUGGCCGAUCUGGCAGGGAGUAUGCAGCACUGUCAGAUGUGCCACGAGCUCGCAGGCUGACGUACCGUGAAGCUUUCCGCUCAGAGAAAAAACGUCAAGACCUGAGGACACGGACACGGAGCCCUGGCAGGGAAGAGGUGGCUCGACUGUUUGGGGAGGAGCGCAGGCGUUCACAAAUCAUUGGCCGAUUUGAAGAGGGUCAACAAGUGGAGCGUAUGGACACGAGCAGCUCCAAUGAGCCCUCUAACACCACACUAAUCCAGAGACAAGGCCGCAGCGAGAGACGCUGUCUCACGAACAAACAUGAGUUGUCGCUGGAUGCAGGAAAGGACCGUUCAGUCCCUGAUGUCUCCAGCUCCACUUUUGCCAAUUUAAGAAGAGCAAAGUCACUGGACCGCAGAGUCACAGAGUCCUCCAUGACGCCAGAUCUUCUAAACUUCAAGAAAGGAUGGAUGACAAAGCUGUAUGAAGACGGGAUGUGGAAGAAACACUGGUUUGUCCUUACAGACCAGAGUCUGAGGUACUACAAAGACUCCAUAGCUGAGGAGGCCUCAGAACUAGAUGGAGAAAUCGACCUUUCCACAUGUUAUGAUGUCAAAGAGUUCCCGGUCCAGAGGAAUUACGGCUUUCAAAUCCUGUGUAAAGAGGGAGCAUGCACCCUGUCAGCAAUGACCUCUGGAAUCCGUCGCAACUGGAUUCAGGCCAUCAUGAAGAAUGUGCGACCUACUAUUGCCCCUGAUGUCACUCGGAAAAACAUCUCUCUGAAACUAUCCGUUCUGAAGCCCAGGUCCAUUCCUGACGAAAAGAUAAAAGCCCAAGUGAUGCUGGAGCCAAGUCCACAGGCCACCCUUGAGCCAAAUCCCAGUCCUGAUGCAACCAAGACUGAUGCCCACAGGCAGCCAAGUGGUAACAAUGCAUCUGCCCCACCCUCGGAGCCACGUAAAAGUCGGGUUCGUGAGCGCCGGCGAGAGGGCCGUUCCAAGACAUUUGACUGGUCUGAAUUUAAAAUGCAACAGACAGAAAAGCCUCCAAAGGAGAGAGCGGACACAGUUGACCUCAGUUCCUCAUUCUCUACAACUUCUUCAUAUUGUUCUCCCUCCUCUUCCCCUUCCUCUUUAGCAUCUUCUCCUGUCUCUACCUCCUCCCUCCACACGUCUUCUGUAUCAGGUGCUCAGCCACCUUCUAUCACAGAAGAAGUAGGAAAAGAGUGUGUUAGGAAGGGAAUUUCUCCACAUAACACAACCACUACAAUCCACAAGCCAAAUACCUUUACUGUUAGCGUUACAUCCACACUGAACACUGUCCCGGCAGUGCAGUCACCUGCCACUGAAUGCCAAGAGCAAGGAAAGAUGGAAGUAGACCACCCUGUGGCCAUGCACACUGCUGGUGAAGACAAACGGGACAAUAAAACCUCUGAUGUCCGGGAAGAAAUUGAGCAGCGCUGGCAUCAGGUGGAGACAACACCUUUAAGAGAAGAGAAGCAAGUGCCGAUCACCACAACUUCUAACUCAGAGAGGCUGCCUGCACAUGAGCUCGCUGCACUGCUGGACAAAGAGUUGGGACAGAAGCAGAAGGAGCUGGACCGACUUCAAAAGCAGAACAACCUUUUAAAAGAGCAGUUGGAAGAUGCACUAGGAAGAGAACAGAAUGCCAGAGAGGGAUAUGUGUUACAGAGUGCAACACCCCCUUCCUCUUCACCACAUAGAGCGCCCUGGCAACGCUUACACAGACUUAACCAAGAUUUGCAGGGGGAAUUGGAAUCGCAGAAGCGCAAACAAGACAUUGCCCAACAGCAGAUUCGAUCACUCAAGAGAAGCUACACCGAAGCCCAGGAUGCAGUAGAACGACACGAGGGUGAUAUUCAGGCCCUUCAAGCUAAACUGGCAUCUGCAAUGGCAGAAAUUUUAGCAAGUGAACAAUCUGUGGCGCGUAUGCGGAAUGAGCUCAAGCUAGAACAAGAGCGUUCAAGGGAACAAGAGGAGGAAUAUGGACGUAGUGAGACCACCCUAAGAGCUCAACUGAAAGACAGUGAAGAUAGACUCAGAGAAGUCGAGGCCAGUCUUUUAGAAAGGAACCAAGCCCUUAGGCACCUGGAGCACCAACAGGCCUUACAGCGAGACCACAUAAGAGAGAUACAGAGACUACAGGACAGGCUACAAGAAGUAACCGCCCGACUAAGUGCUACUGAAGAGGGUCAGGCUCUGAAGGAAGAACGCUUGAAGAAAGAACAGCUUAGUAUGCAAGACAGUCAUGAGAGAGAAAAACAGAAUCUGUGUAGACGAUUAGCAGAGGCUGAAACUGCACGAAAAGAGAUGGAGGACAGACUGCUGGAGGCUGAGCAGCAAGUGGAGGCCCUGUUAAGGGGCAGGCAAACCUCAGGAGGGCAGGAAUGCAGAGAGGAAAUGCUGAAGUUACAAGAAGAGCUGGUCCAUAAGACUGACAUGGUUGAGUCACUACGGGAAAGUGUACGCAGGCUAGAGGAAGAGAAAAGCCGGCUGACUUGUCACUGUCAGGAACUUGUCAACCAGAUUGCAGAGGCAGAUCGUGAGGUGAACAAGCUCCGCAACCGUUUGGAGACAGAAGAGGCUGAUUACUACACCCUAGAGCACUCAUAUGAGAGGGCUACUGAAGAGUUCCAGAAAAUGAGUCAGUUUCUAAGGGAAAAAGAGGAAGAGAUUCACCAGACAAAGGAAAUGUAUGAGAGGUUAAUGGAACGCAAAGAGCAGGACUUAAAAGAAGCAUUUGUUAAGAUGACAGCUCUUGGCAACAGUUUAGAGGAAACUGAACAAAAGUUGCAAGCUAAGGAGGAGCUUCUGUGUCAGAUGAGUCAAAGCCUCUCUGAGAAGUUUGAACCUUGUAAUGCAGAGAAGGAUCUGAAAGCCAAGCUUGUGGUUGCAGAGGACCGCAUUGCAGAGCUAGAACAACACCUCAAUGCCCUGCAGUUGGGCUAUGCUGAUCUACGCAUGGAAAGGGAACAAAUUCCAGAACAAUGCAUGAAGGGAAGAGUCAAUACAUCAGGCUCUUUAUCACCAAAUACAGAACUCUCACCUUCUUCUGACAAUUCAUCCAAGACACAGAGCUCCUCAGAUGAUAAGGAGUCUCAGGCUAAAAGACCAAGGAUACGUUUUUCCAGUAUUCAGUGCCAAAAAUACAUCAGCUUAGAAGGUCCUGAAACAGUAGGAGACUCAACACAAAAAACAAGCCAAGAUAUAAAUGAAGAUGUCCAUCUAAGUGAAGGAAACAUCUCCUCUGAUAUCACUUUCACUCACACAAGUGACCCAGAGAAGUUUAUCUCUAUUAUACAUGCUCUAGAGUCUAAAUUACUUGCUACUGAGGAUAAAUUAAGAAACCUCACUCAGAAUCUUGAAGGGCAACGAUCAACCAAAGUAGAAGACUCAUCCAACACUGAUGUUAACAUGAGAGAAAAAAAACCAUGCACAGAAAAAGACAUUAGUUGUGAAAGUGGGACUCAGAUUAUUUCUGCCGAUAAGCAUUAUGCCAAGGCAAUGGUAUGUGUGGAGAACAGUAGAAAGAAAGUGAGGGCUAUUCUCAGUGGUUCUCAUGAUACUACUGAUUCACAGCUACAUUCACUGUCAGAGAUAGAGAGUGAUUUGUUUAAUGCAUCGUUGUACAUCCAACAAGGACAAAAGGCCAUUGAAGAGCACUCACUAGUUAUCCCUCACAAUCAAACCCCAGAGUCUCUAGAUAACGAAGCCAUGCACCUCUUUGCCAAAAUCUUGUCUUUUGAAGCAGUAGUGUUGAACAAGAUGGCUUUAUUAAUACAGACUUCAAAGUCUGACCUCCUACAGUCUCUGUCUGAGAUAUGGGAAGAUAUAGAGAACAUCAAAAAGAGUGAUAAAGAUUGCUUGGCUAUAGUUUAUGCUGAUGUCUUGACCAAGAAGUUGAUGUUAGAGAGUGCCUUCUGGAAAGAAAUGGAGAAAGUUGAAAUGCAGUAUGAAUACACAGAUGAUGCUAAAUCAAAAGAGUCUAAAAGUGUUUCACUUGAUGUAGGUUUGGAUGGCACAGUUAUAUUAAACACCUUCAUUAAAGCAGAACUAACCUAUUCAAUUCAAAACCUUAAACUUUGCUAUGAAGAGAAACUCAGAAUACUAAAAAGGGAGUUAUCUGAAGCCCAUAAUAACCUCCAGCAAAGGGAAUUGGCUUUGAAAGCAAUUAUUGAUGCUUCCAAAAGGCCUGAUUUGAAAAAUGUCAUCAAAGAAGUCAAAAAGAACUUUGGCUUUGGCAAACAAAAGUUAGCUGACAUUCGCCCUCCUGAACUUGCUCCGUAUAUGGAGCAGAUCGAAGUGGAUGAGGCUAGAGACAUGGCUGAGGAAAUCGUAGACAGACACUUGGCUGGACAAAUGCCCUCUUGUGGUGUGGAGUCUAUUCAGUCGCUGCAAAAUGCACAUGACAGCCUGGCUCUUGAGCUGCAGAGACAGGCAGCAAUUUUAAACCAGUAUGCUCAAGAGAUAGAAAGUGGUGGCAACCAUCCUGAACUAGCUAAAAUGAUCCAUGCACUUCUGGGUCACCAGACAUCACAAACCUUCACUAGUACUUCUCUUUGUAUGCGUGAGGCCCUUAUCCAGGCCCAAGUGGCUUAUGUGGCAUGCAGGUUACGGGCCAUGCACGAACAGGACUUGGGCUGGUGUAAACAGGCAGGGCAGAACAUGGAUGCUCUUGUCCAGCAGCAUGCUCGCAAUGUCAGUGCCAUCCAAGAGAAAUAUGAAACAUCACUGCAGGAGGAGCGACAGAACUUCACACAAACACUGACUACUCUCCAAAAGGAGAACCAAACGCUUAAAAAUGAGAUCAGCCAACGUGUAAACCAGCUUUCCCAGCAGCAGGAACAUCUGUCUCUCCUGGAGGAGCAUUUUCAGAAGGAGACUGAAGAACUGAAGCAAAGGCACAAAAAAGAGCUGAGCCAAGCAGAGGAGGGCCGUACAUCUACAGAGAUGGCGCUCAUGGAGACCACAGCAGACAGCCAGCGGAAGUUGGAAGUUCUGCUUGUGGACAUGGACACCAUGGAGGAACGGCAUGAGAGUCAUGUGAGGAAACUGGAGGAACAGUUUGAGCAGAGGAUCUGUGAGCUUCAGCACAUCCACAAAGAGGAGAUUGAAAGGUUACACUCCCAAUAUAUGGACAACCUUCAACGUGUCCAAGAGCAUCAUCGGGACAAAAAGGAUCUAGAGGUUUGUGACUCAAUUCACUGUGAUAAGACGACACCAAUGGAAGAGGAGGAGCAGGGGAAGGGGAUGGAUGCACAGACCAUGUCAGAGGUGGACUCCAUGGUGGUUCUGAAGGACAGGGUCCAGGAGCUGGAGACUCAGAUGAACACCAUGAGGGACGAACUGGAGAACAAGCACCUGGAAGGAGAUGUGGCCAGCCUAAGAGAGAAAUACCAGAGAGACUUUGAAAGUCUUAAGGCCACGUGUGAACGUGGCUUUGCUGCAAUGGAAGAAACUCACCAGAAGGUGAUCGACGACCUCCAGAGGCAGCAUCAGAGGGAGAUUUCCAAACUUAUGGAGGAGCGAGAGAGGUUACUGGCUGAGGAAACCGCUGCCACAAUUGCUGCUAUUGAAGCUAUGAAGAAUGCACACAAGGAGGAGCUGGAGAAGACCCAGCGCUCCCAACUGAGUGGCCUGAACUCUGACAUUGAUGAGCUUCGCCUGCAAUACGAGGAGGAGCUGCAGUCCAUCCAGAGGGAACUGGAGGUGCUGUCAGAGCAGUACUCUCAGAAGUGUCUGGAAAACGCUCACCUGGCCCAGGCGCUGGAGGCCGAGAGGCAGGCCCUCAGGCAGUGUCAGAGAGAGAACCAGGAACUAAACGCUCACAACCAGGAACUAAAUAACAGACUGAGUGUAGAGAUCACUCGAAUGCGAUCCUGUUUCAGCGGGGAAACCGCAAUGUCACCUGUCACUCAAGGCAAAGAUGUGUAUGAACUGGAGGUUUUGCUUCGCAUUAAAGAGUCUGAGAUUCAGUAUCUAAAACAAGAAAUCCACUCUCUGAAAGAUGAACUGCAGUCUGCUUUAAGGGACAAAAAAUAUGCCACAGAUAAAUAUAAGGACAUCUAUACAGAAUUAAGUAUCGUGAAAGCAAAAGCUGACUGCGACAUCAGCAAACUGAAGGAAAAAUUACUCAUUGCCACAGAAGCUUUAGGCGAGAGGACUGUGGACGGAACAGUCACAUCUGGAUACGAUAUUAUGAAAUCCAAAAGUAAUCCAGACUUCAUGAAAAAAGAACUGUCAUCCUCCUCCAAGCAAUCAAGAGGCCUAAGGUCAAAGUCCGUCACUGAACAGGUCUCAUGGGAUAGCUGACACUCCCAAUGUGGGGUGAUUCCCUUCCAACCCCUGCCCCAAGAUGAGCUAGCCUGAAAGAAGGACUAACCGUGCAGGAACGCAUGAAGCUUUUUGAGGCAAAAGAUUCCAAAAAGAUCUGAUUAUCAACAAUCCGAACUUUUCUUUUCUCUUUUCCUGACUCUGAUUCUGGUCAGACUGUGGCGACCACGCCGGCGUUAGCGUAAGACUCAUGUAGGAAAUAGAAAAAUGCAUCAAUGUCACAUCCUAACCCUGGACAUGCUGCUUUCAUGCCUCUGAUAAGUUAUCAUUUAUUAUUAUAGUUAAUGAGAAAACAACUGAAUCAAUCCUGUGUAAGGUUUCUUUCACAUUACAUAAUAGUUGGAGAUGUGAAGAUAAGCUGUGAGAGAUUCAUGACAGCAUUUUUUUUUUUUUUUUACUGAUUCUCCAAAAUGCCAAAACAGACAGCAAUACACAUUAUGAAUAAUAUAUAUUUCCCAAUAUGACUUAAGUAUCUGCUGUAUUUUAUCAUUGUUACAGUUUCUAUAUCUAAUAAUAAUUUUUAAUGCGUUUAAUGUUGCACCAGUUGUGUUGUACAUAACUACUGGAUAUAUGUAAGAGUAAGGUUUGCUAUUGAUUGUUGGGGCAUCUGCUGUACUAUAACUAUGGUUUGAUUGAUAGUGGAAAACAAUGUGACGCUUAACUUGCUUAUGUAUGAGAGUUUUAUAAAGAUGGUGUGUCUGUGUGAAGGGGGAAACGGGAGUGGGAUUGCACUUAUCACUUGACUACUUGAGGAAGCUUUUUUUAUUUGUCAAAAAUUGGUGUAGUGACUUUAAGUCAGUUAUUGCAGUGCAACCAAACAUCAUGACUUCUGUCAAAUUAAGUGAACAAACGUGACUUGUUAGUGGUACUGGAUUUUUUUUUUUUUAAGUUUCCUAAAACAUGGAUUUGUGUUUGCUCAGUUUUGACUUUGGUGUGAGAAUAUCAUCUCAGAAAAGCUGAUACUAUUUAGGACUUUGCAUGACUGUACAGUAUAAUUUUAACUGCAGAAUGAUCAUGUUGCCUCAUUUUCCUCCUUUUAUGCUUUAGUGUGGUUCUCUUUACACUAAUAAGCUUUGCUUUGCAAGUCCUACUGUUUAGGUGUUGAGAUUGAAAUGUUUUACUGUACGCGGCAGUCUUGAAGCACUUGGCCCAAUCCCUGACCUCUCACUGAAAUCUAGUCGUGCCUCAACUGAGUGAAGAAUAUAAACAUCCAUAAAACCUGUGCAGCUAUGGAUACACACUGUAUAGUAUUCAAACCACGCCUUGUAUAUAAUAUAUGCCACACAGAAAACUUCUGUGUUUUGUUUUAAACUUGUACCUUGCUCACUAGCUCUAUAUGAAAUAUAUAUGAAUAUUUUUUAUUUUCAUGUGAAUGUAUAACGUCAAAUAAAUGAAGUGUUUGGACAUUU